GAGAGUUUCAACAUGUGCAGUCUGUCUUUCUCUCUGUCUUGGAGACAUCUGGCUGCAAGCAUCUUUCAGAUUCCAUCAAUACCACAGUGAGGGGGGAAACCCCACAGCUGAAAAAAGCAGCCUCAGCAAUCUGAGCGCAGGCCAGCUCAUAUCGACUCCAACAAGCUCUCAGUCAUCGCGCCGAACUCUCGGAGCUACAGAUCUGUGUCUGCCAAGAGAAGAGGAGGGGAGCUCCAGGGGCGAGGUGUGAAGAGGGAGUUCGGUUAAGAAGUCCAGGGGGUCAUAGGGAAGACAGAGGGCUGGUCUGUGUGUGUGUGUGUGUGUGUGUCUGUCUUUGACUGGCAGAGAGGCAGCUCCAGCUGUUCUGCUUCAUCUUGGCAAUUAGCUGUAAUCAAGUCUCUGAGCUCUCUGGGUGUUCUUCGGAGACACUUUCACACGCUGGAGCUCCACCGGAUAUCCCUCAUCUCUGUCUCCCAAUCACACACAUGCACACACAUGCACACGCACGCACAUACAUGUAUGCUUGAGCGUGCACAUACAUACACAACACACACACUGAGCACUACCUGGAAACUUUACACUGUGCUGUGAAGGUUUAACUCCCUGUAAAAGGAGGGAAUGUACAAAACAUGGGUAUUCGUAUGCAUGUGUGAAUGUGUGUGUGUGUGUGUGUGUGUGUGUGUGUGUGUGUGUGUGUUGUUUGUAGCCAGGUCUCUGUGGGCCAAUCCAGCCUGUGGCUCUCUCUCUCUCUCUGUUCAGACUCCACCAUGUGCUGCACACAUGUUCCCAUCAGCUCUGUGAAUCAGUCUUUGUGCGGAGCAGCAUCCUCCUCCUCCUCCUCCUCCUCCUCCUCCUCCUCCUCUGCUCUCGCUGGUUAACCUCCAUGCAAACACUGACCUCGCCCGCUUCUCCACCUGUGUAGAGAGACACCACCCUCACCCUCACGUGCAGGACAAACACCCUUGAAGAGCCGUGCACACUCGUAAAGUUGGGACAUUCCUGCAUGCAUGCAUGACAAAAAUGUGAUUGUGUUCAUCCUCCACCUUUUCUCUUAUAUACUGCGACUGAUCCCCGCUACCAGGCGGAUUAUGGAACAGUCCGGCGGCGGCAAGCUCGUGGUGCCACCUCCCAUCUCCACAGUGUGUGGCCUGAGUUGGCCUUAAGAGACACCACAGGCAGGCAGGCAGGGACGACUGCUGCUCUGACAACAGCUGCAGCAAGAAGCGGAUUUGAAAAUUUCCACUCCCUGUUCCCAUAAACAGGAUGGAGGUAUGGUUUACAUAUUAUGAGAAUAGAACCAAGAACGCAAAUAGAGCUUCAGGGUCGAUCUAUGUGGAGAGUGUUCGUGCAUGCGUGCAGAAUGAGUUUACCUUCAGUCCUAAAGUAAUGCAGAGAUCAGGGAGGUUUUCUGAGGUAUGAGAGAGACACUUAAAUAUCCGAGAAACAUGAUCAAAAAUCAGAUUAAUUCAUAAAACAGACCCGAAAGUAUGUUUCCUCUCACCUUGUCUGCACUGAUACUUUGAUUACAUGUCUCAGCACGGCAUCUCAGAGUAGAGUCAGAUUUGACUGGCAGCUUAUUUGAGCAGAACACCGACUGUUUAUGAGAAACCUCAUAUGACCCCGUUUCCUCAAGAACUCAUGAGGGCAAAGCUUAAACGCCACCGCCAUGUCAGAGAAUAUGGAUGUGGUUUUUAGACAGUAAUGUUCAAACAGAAUAAUGGACCAAACGACUGCUUUGACCCAUGACCCUCAAGUCUGACCACACCCUGAGCUCAGAUACCCAA
rnacentral:lncRNA from 1 species